rnacentral:rRNA from 1 species
UACGAAGGGGGCUAGCGUUGUUCGGAUUUACUGGGCGUAAAGCGCACGUAGGCGGAUCGUUAAGUCGGGGGUGAAAUCCUGGAGCUCAACUCCAGAACUGCCUUCGAUACUGGCGAUCUUGAGUCCGGAAGAGGUGAGUGGAACUCCUAGUGUAGAGGUGAAAUUCGUAGAUAUUCGCAAGAACACCAAGUGGCGAAGGCGGCUCACUGGCCCGAUACUGACGCUGAGGCACGAAAGCGUGGGGAGCAAACAGG